rnacentral:rRNA from 2 species
CGGUGCUGGGUGCAAGAAGCAGCGGAAAGACGGAGGGGGGUAGCGGGGUUCGGAAGUAGUGGGGGUAAAGGGCGCGCAGGUGGCUUAGCAAGUAAGGGGGGGAAGCCCGGAGCGCGACUCCGGAAGUGCCUUUGAAACUGAGGGGCUCGAGUACGGGAGAGGGGAGUGGAAUUCCCAGUGUAGAGGUGAAAUUCGUAGAGAUCCGGAAGAGCACCGGUGGCGAAGGCGGCCUGCUGGGCAGUAGCUGACGCUGAGGCGCGACAGCGUGGGGAGCAAACAGGAUUAGAUACCCGGGUAGUC